UACGUAGGGUGCAAGCGUUGUCCGGAAUUAUUGGGCGUAAAGAGCGUGUAGGCGGCCCCGUUAGUCCGCUGUGAAAGUCCAGGGCUCAACCUGGAAUGCCGGUGGAUACUGCGGGCUAGAGUCCGGAAGGGGCGAGUGGAAUUCCUGGUGUAGCGGUGAAAUGCGCAGAUAUCAGGAGGAACACCAAUGGCGAAGGCAGCUCGCUGGGACGUGACUGACGCUGAGACGCGAAAGCGUGGGGAGCAAACAGG
rnacentral:rRNA from 1 species